UCGAAUUCAAGGAAGUCCUCCUACCUCUCACUCCACAACAAAAUCUCCUUUAGGAGUCAUUUUCCUUGUUCACUCUUGACUCUCUAGUGGUAUAUCUUUCUCUUUUCAUUUUCCAUUUGUAAACGAAAGAACCUUUUUUUUCUCUUCACUCUCUAAUCAAUUAUCUCUGGUAUAUCUUUCUCUUUUCAUUUUCACUUUGUAAACGAGAGAACCUAUUUUUUUUGGGUUUUUGAAUUUUCUGAAACUGUGGUUUUUUUAUCCUAAUUUGUUAACUUUCUUUUUUGUCUGGGUUUUUGGGUAAUGCAGGAUAUUAAGAAGAUUUCUCAUAUAGCUUAAAGUUGUUUGACGACCUUGAUCGUCAAAAAUUCUCAGGUAAUUCUUAUGGUUUUAAAAUAUUCAGUCGUUUGCUUACUUGUAAUCAGUUAUGAAUGUCGUAAACCCUAAUUUUUGUCUGCAUGUUAAAUUUUUAGGUGCAAUUGAAGCUUUAUUUCAAAAUUGAUCGGAAAAAACAAAACCUAAUCCCUCAAUUGCAGAAAUUGACUCCAAAAAGAACUAAUUUUUGCAUUAAAAUUCUUGUUUAGUGUGUUUGACUUAGUGCACCGUGGCAAAAUAUAUAGGAUUAUAUAGAGCAAAAACAGCCCCAAAUUUCUCCCAUUAAGUGCUUAUGCCCGCAAACUGAAAUAUGAAAGGUUACUCUAAAAAGGAAACUAAAGAGUGAACACUGAUCAUAAUUAGGCUAUUACUGGAGAUUUUCUAUUCAUUUAAUAAGAAAGUUAACAUAGAUUUUAAGAUACAAAUAUAUGUUUAGUUCACAUGAAGAAUACUACAUAGCAAGUCUUUUAUGUGCUUCUUAAAUCUUAAAGUAUGAACCCGGGAAAUGUAUGUUUUUAUAAGAAACCAAGAAUCUUUGUUUAUCCAAGAUAUACAAGCUUCUGUGUAAUCUUCUUUUCUUGUGGGGGGGGGGGGGAUAAGUUAAGUUUUUUUUUGGAAGGGGAGCCUUGGCGUAACUGCUAUAGUUGUUGCCAUGUGACUAGAAGGUCACGGGUUUUAGACGUGGAAAUAGCCUCUUGCAGAAGUGUAGGGUAAGACUGCGUAUAAUAGACCCUUGUGGUCCGGCCCUUCCUUAACCCGCACAUAGCGGGAGCUUAGUGCACCGGGCUGCGCUUUAAGUUUUUUUUUGGGUGUGAAAAGUAUUGGGAAAUUCUUUAUUACGUUUUAAUCAUUCUACAACUGGAAGAACAGAUAAAAAAGCAAUUGCUUUAUUUUUUAGUUGUUGUUGUUGUUUUUGUUGAGAUGAUAAAAAAGCAAAUGCUUUUAAAAUACCAACAUAACAAAUGCAGGCAUUAGAAUACUAUCAUGUAUAACCAUGCAAGCCCCACUAAAACAACUAUAAGUAGAACUCUACCUGACUUCUAAUGCUUCCUCAAAUCUCUUUAAUGCUAAAUAUGGUGUGGAUGAAGCAUCCCAUCAGCCACUUAUUCGUUGGGCAGUAGACUAAAAUUUGAUCAUGUCUGCAAACCAGAAAGUACAGAACAAACGUACUUAGGGAAGAGUCUAACACAAUUAUCAAACACAAUCAAGCUUGGUAGGCAUUAAUUCGUCCUCUUUUUAACAUAUCUUCACAAUUUCCAUUUGCAAUCAAUAGAAACAUACAUGUUUUAGCAAAGGCAUAACUGAAUAAGAGACAUUGCCCAUAUGUUUAACCAAAAUGCACUGUAACUCUUGUAACUCUUUUGGACUCUGAUAAUCCAACAACUUCCUCACAAAUAUAUAGACUUUUUUUUUGAUAAGGUAAUAAUUUCAUUAAAAAAAGGGAAAAUAUACAAGGAGUAACCAAAAAUAGAAAACCUUAGAAAAGGACAUAUUUUUCUACGAAUGACACCCAAUCUUCUAUAAAAAAUAGGAACCCCGUGGGUGCAACCAAAAAUAAAUAAGGGAAAAGAGGCUACUCCGCAGGUAUACAAGAUCUUUUUCUACUCCAUCAAAAGCUCUAGUAUUCCUCACUCCAAACAAACCACAUGAGUGCAAGAGGAGCAACAUUCCAAGCCCUUCAUCUUCUCUUCCGUCUUCUAAAGGCCUAGCUAAACAUAGUUUCCUUAACCGUGCCCGACAUCAUCCACUCUAUACCAAACUAAAAAAUUUUCCCCGAAAAUAAGAUGCUAUCCGACAAUGUAAAAGGAGGUGAUUCACGCCUUCUCCUGAUUCUUUACACAUGAAGCACCAACUAACAAGAGUAACCGUUCUCCUUCUCAAAUUCUCCGCGGCAAAAUCACCCCUUUUUUAGCUAGCCAAGUAAAGAAGCACAACUUUCUCGUUUUUCUAGGAAUCCAUACCGAAUUAUGUGGGAAGGAGACUCCUCCUUAGAUAGUAGCUAUCCAUAAUAGGGCUUAAUGGAAAAAAUGCCAUUUUCCCCGGCGACCCAUCUCCAUGCAUCAUGUCUAUCUUGUGAAACUUAUUGGCUAUGAAGUAGUCCGAACAAGUUCUAAAAUUCAUCUACCUCUCCGUCUUGCAAAUUCCUUCUAAACCUCACAUACUCAUAUAGACCUAAAGUAGUGAAGUACUCAAAUCCCCAUACACCACCCCCAGACUUUGGUAUGCCAAUAGUAGAUUCUUAGAAACAUUCACCAAAGGAAGUUACAAGGUUAUAGAUGAGAUGCGGCGGUAAGGAAAUGAUUAUUAAAAGCUCCUGUGAGCAUCACAGAAAAACUGGAGCGGCUUCAAAAGAAUUUUUUUUGGGAUGCGGCGGAUGGAACUAGAAAGUUUCAUCUAGUGAAUUGGCAGACAGUCACUUCCCCAAAGAAGUGGGGUGGACUUGUAGUAAAAGAUCUUAGGGUAUUCAACAAGAGCUUUGUUGGGGAAGUGGCUGUGGAGAUUCGGGGUAGAAGAGCAUGCUCUAUGGAGGGAGAUUAUAGUAGAAAAGUACGAUUUCCACGGGAGGGGGUUGGAGGACCAAGGCAAUAAUAGCUCCUUUCGAGUGUGGCAUGUGGAGGAGCAUCAUGAAGAAUUGGGAAGUCUUCAGUGGCAACAUCACUUACUGGGUGGGAGAUGGAAGGAGAAUCAGCUUUUGAAAUCAUAGGUGGUGUGGAGAGGAUACUCUGAUGGUCUCCUUCUCUCAUUUCUUUAUAGUUUCAAACCAGAAGGAAUUGAUGGUCCAACAGAUUCGUAAGGAGCAUGAAGGGGGAUAGUAUGUGACCUCUCAUUCAGAAGGAACAUGCAAGAUUGCGGAGUUUAAAGAUUUGUUGACACUACUAUAUGGGUAAGACAAGCUCUAGCCAUCUUGUGAUUCUUGGUGAUGGGGUUUGCGUCGAUUGUUUGUUCACCGUGAAGUCCUUUUACCAGAGUAUGUUGGUGAAAGAGAAGACCACUUUUCCGUACUCUUUGAUCUGGAUUCCUAAGGCGCCCACGAAGGUGUGCUUUUUUGCAUGGCUAGCGGCGAGGUGAGUGAUUUUGACUACUGAAAAUCUGCGAAAGAGAUGAAUUAAACUUGUUAGUUGGUGCUACAUAUGGAAAAGCUCAGGCGAAUAGGUUGAUCAUCUUUUGAUGCAUUACCCAGUGUCCUCGACUUUGUGGAGGGUAAUCCUGAAUCUUUUUGGUGUUCAAUGGGUGAUGCCAAGCACUGUAAAAGAAAUGUUGUAUAGAUGGGCCGGUUUCCGUCGAAGAAAAAAGCAAAAGGCGUGGAAGUUCACCCCAUUAGCUCUCACGUGGAUAGUUUGGGGGAGAGAGAAAUAGGAGAGCUUUUGAGGGGAUUGAGUCUCCUUUUUCACAUCUUAAGAAUAGUCUUUUAUCUUUGAUCGCUUUUGGUGCACUCAUAUAGCCCCUACUUGUAUAAGAAGAUUGAGCGUCUUUUGUAGAGAAUAAUGUACUGAUGUAAAUCCUCUACUUUUUGGUAUACUUCCGGUAUAGGGGAGUUAUCUCCCUUUUGAUUAAUACAAUUUACCUUAUAGAAAAAAGGUUAGAGAUGAGAUGGUUUCUUAUAAAGUUGUCACCUAACCUACAGAUUUGCUCACUUGUACAAUUCAUCUUUUAGUUUAAAUUAUACUGGAAGCAUGGAAGCAAGUAGAUACAGAGGAAACUUUCAUGAAACCAGUAACUCCAUGACAGCGAACCUUAUCUUUUAUCUCUGAUUUUGAACUGUUAAAAGUCAUGAAGAAUAUAAAUUUUUAAUUUGUUGUUGAUGCUUAAGAGAAUUCUACAAAUUUGUUAUUAGUAAAGUAAGAAGCUACUGUAAGAAGCUAUUGUCAAAAGACAUGAUUAUACUCAUCACCCAUACGACAACCUAGAUGCAUCAGCUCUGUGGAAAAAAGAAGAGAAGAAUUUUGUUUGCUUACUGUAAGUUACUGAAGUUUGGUAACCCUCCCCAAUUGCAUCCGUUAGUGUAUUUUAGGUAGCAACUCAUGAUGCAUCAGCUUUGGGGCAAAAGAAGAAACAGUUGCCAAGCCAACAUAAACAACUAACAUUGAACCUGG
rnacentral:lncRNA from 1 species